CGAAGGGGCUAGCGUUGUUCGGAAUUACUGGGGCGUAAAGCGCACGUAGGCGGAUUGAUCAGUUAGAGGUGAAAUCCCAGGGCUCAACCCUGGAACUGCCUUUAAUACUGUCAGUCUAGAGAUCGAGAGAGGUGAGUGGAAUUCCGAGUGUAGAGGUGAAAUUCGUAGAUAUUCGGAGGAACACCAGUGGCGAAGGCGGCUCACUGGCUCGAUACUGACGCUGAGGUGCGAAAGCGUGGGAGCAAACAGGAUU
rnacentral:rRNA from 1 species